UUUUUUUUUUUUUUUUCUUUUUUGGUCUUUUCAGGGCCACAUGCAUGGCACAUGGAGGUUCCCAGGCUAGCGGUCCAUUCAGAGCUGUAGCUGCUGGCCUAUGUCACAGCCAUAGCAACAAUGAAUCCAAGCCGAGUUUGCAACCUAUACCACAGCUCAUGGCAACGCCAGAUCCCCAACCCACUGAGCAAGGAUCUGGUGUUGCCGUGAGCUGUGGUGUAGUUUGCAGACGGGGCUUGGAUCCUGCACUGCUGUGGCUGUGACAUAUACCAGCAGCUAUAGCUCCGACUGGACCCCUAGCUGGGGAACCUCCGUAUGCCACGCAUGCGGCCCUAAAAAGCAAAAAUAAAUAAAUAAAUAAAUAAAUAAAUAAAUAAUAAAAUUCAGACAAUGUGAUAUACUGCAAGUAAGUAUUUUAAGUACUGAUGGAGAGAUUAUCCACACAAAGGUAUUCAUAUGAUCUCCAACUUUGCUUGAUUCUAUGAUUUAGGGAGUUUGCAUUCUAUCUGAGGACAGAAGAUAAAAUGCACGAAAUCACUGGCAACAAUUACAAGCAUGGGAUGGUUUGGUAUUGCUUAGGAGUUCAAAAAUAAAUAAGGAAAAUUUAAAUUAAGGAUCAAAUAAUUAAAAGUUUCUUGGAGUUCCCGUCGUGGCGCAGUGGUUAACGAAUCCGACUAGGAACCAUGAGGUUGCGGGUUCGGUCCCUGCCCUUGUUCAGUGGGUUAACGAUCCGGCGUUGCCGUGAGCUGUGGUGUAGGUCGCAGACACGGCUCGGAUCCCGCGUUGCUGUGGCUCUGGCGUAGGCCGGUGGCUACAGCUCCGAUUCGACCCCUAGCCUGGGAAUCUCCAUAUGCCGCGGGAGCGGCCCAAGAAAUAGCAACAACAACAACAAAAGACAAAAGAUAAAAAAUAAAUAAAUAAAAGUUUCUUAAAGGAAGGAGGGCUUAAGAUGAGUAGAAUUUAUAUAAAUUAAGGGGAAAAAUAAACCAUACAUCUUGAAGGAAAAUACAAUAUUACUAUAAAAAAAAGGAAAUAUGGGCAUGGGAUAUCAGGAAACAUUCCUGACCAAAAAAGAGGAUGAGUAUUAGAGAGAGAUACACUAAGGCCUUUAAAUCAAAGCUGAUGGGUCAUACUCUGGAAACUGAUUACAAUUUAUUGAGAAAAGAACUGAUAAAAGCUGUGUUUACAGAAGAAUCUAAACUGUAGUGAAAAUCUAGAAUGUUUGACUAUAAGCUCCAUAUUAUUUACCAUUCACUGCCAGUAUUUGACCCAGUGUCUGGCAUAAAGUAAGACCUCAAUAUAUGGAAAGGCUGAAGUCAGUUAUGCACUGACAAAGAUUUGGAGUACAGUGAGAGCAGUGAGAUUAAAGAAGCCUCUUUAUUUAGAGAGUUCAUUAAAUUUACCAAAUGUAAAGAAAAAUAAAAGAAAUAAUAACUGUAACGUAAAAGCACUACAGCACAACUGGGAAACCAAAUCUGAAACAUAAAUGUAUCUUCUGUGACUUCUCUUUGUCUUCUUUCUUCAUCCUGAAACCUGGAGUCAUCAUCACAUUUCCUAAAUUUGAAGCAACAGAGAGCUGUCAACAUCCCAGUAAGGCUAUAUCUUGUAGUAAAGAAUGAUGAGCCAAAGUAGUCUACAGUAUGGUGGAAUUCUAUUAUAAUUACUAAUCUUCCCUGACAUAAAGAAGUGUGUCAAAAGUUUGAAAACAAAGAUUUCUUGGGGUUUUCCUUCUAGCACACAACCUGAGAUU
rnacentral:lncRNA from 1 species